GUGUUCGCUUCAGCAGCACAUAUACUACAAUUGGAACGAUACAGAGAAGAUUAGCAUGGCCCCCUGCGCAAGGAUGACACGCAAAUUUGUGAAGCGCACGCACACACA
rfam:Erinaceus europaeus unplaced genomic scaffold scaffold00467, whole genome shotgun sequence